GUUUUUUUAAAAUUGGCAAGAGGAGUAUUAUAUGAUUUGACAAAGUUAGAAGAGACAACUGUGGUGGACUGAAAUUCCAGCUAUAACAGCAAAUGUCUCAACGAUUGUCCUUUCUCAUUGGAAAGAAUUCCAGUUAUAGUUGUAUUCUCAGAAAACUUCACUAUCUCAGAUAUAUUUGCUUGUAGUCUUACUGAGCCUAUCCUUUUUCCUCCACGC
rnacentral:misc_RNA from 1 species